UACGUAGGGACCAAGCGUUGUUCGGAUUUACUGGGCGUAAAGGGCGCGUAGGCGGCGUGGUAAGUCACUUGUGAAAUCUCUGAGCUUAACUCAGAACGGCCAAGUGAUACUGCUGUGCUAGAGUGCAGAAGGGGCAAUCGGAAUUCUUGGUGUAGCGGUGAAAUGCGUAGAUAUCAAGAGGAACACCUGAGGUGAGGACGGGUUGCUGGGCUGACACUGACGCUGAGACGCGAAAGCGUGGGGAGCGAACAGG
rnacentral:rRNA from 1 species